AGAGUUUGAUCAUGGCUCAGAUUGAACGCUGGCGGCAUGCCUAACACAUGCAAGUCGAACGGUAACGCGAAGAGCUUGCUCUUUGGCGACGAGUGGCGGACGGGUGAGUAAUACUUAGGAAUCUACCCAGUAGCGGGGGACAACUCGGGGAAACUCGAGCUAAUACCGCAUACGCCCUACGGGGGAAAGCAGGGGAUCUUCGGACCUUGCACUAUUGGAUGAGCCUAAGUCGGAUUAGCUAGUUGGUAGGGUAAAAGCCUACCAAGGCGACGAUCCGUAGCUGGUCUGAGAGGACGAUCAGCCACACUGGGACUGAGACACGGCCCAGACUCCUACGGGAGGCAGCAGUGGGGAAUAUUGGACAAUGGGGGCAACCCUGAUCCAGCAAUGCCGCGUGUGUGAAGAAGGCCUGCGGGUUGUAAAGCACUUUCAGUAGAGAAGAAAAGCCUAAGGUUAAUAACCUUGAGUCUGACGUAACCUACAGAAGAGA
rnacentral:rRNA from 1 species